UAGGGAAUCUUCCGCAAUGGACGCAAGUCUGACGGAGCAACGCCGCGUGAGUGAAGAAGGAUUUCGGUUCGUAAAACUCUGUUGUUAGAGAAGAACAGCGCAUAGAGUAACUGUUAUGCGUGUGACGGUAUCUAACCAGAAAGCCACGGCUAACUACGUGCCAGCAGCCGCGGUAAUACGUAGUUGGCAAGCGUUGUCCGUAUUUAUUGGGCGUAAAGCGAGCGCAGGCGGUCAAUUAAGUCUGAUGUGCAAGCCCCGGCUCAACCGGGGAGGGUCAUUGGCAACUGGUUGACUUGAGUGCAGAAGAGGAGAGUGGAACUCCAUGUGUAACGGUGAAAUUCGUAGAUAUAUAGAGGAACACCAGUGGCGACGGCCAAUCUCUCGUCUGUAACUGACGCUGGGGUUCGAAAGCGUGGGUAGCAAACAGU
rnacentral:rRNA from 1 species